UACGAAGGGGGCUAGCGUUGUUCGGAUUUACUGGGCGUAAAGCGCACGUAGGCGGAUCGUUAAGUGAGGGGUGAAAUCCCAGGGCUCAACCCUGGAACUGCCUUUCAUACUGGCGAUCUUGAGUCCGGAAGAGGUGAGUGGAACUCCUAGUGUAGAGGUGGAAUUCGUAGAUAUUAGGAAGAACACCAGUGGCGAAGGCGGCUCACUGGUCCGGUACUGACGCUCAUGCACGAAAGCGUGGGGAGCAAAAGGG
rnacentral:rRNA from 1 species